UACAGAAACGUACAAAGGAAAGUUACGACGGGGCCCGGCGACAAGCGGUGGAGUAUGUGGUUUAAUUCGAUGCAACGCGAAGAACCUUACCUGGUCUUGACAUCCCGGAGACCCUUAGGAAACUAGGGGUGCUUCCAUCUGGAAGAAUCUGGAGACAGGUGCUGCAUGGCUGUCGUCAGCUCGUGUCGUGAGAUGUUGGGUUAAGUCCCGCAACGAGCGCAACCCUCGCCUUUAGUUGCCAGCAGUUCGGCUGGGCACUCUAAAGGGACUGCCGGUGUUAAACCGGAGGAAGGUGGGGAUGACGUCAAGUCCUCAUGGCCUUUAUGACCAGGGCUACACACGUACUACAAUGGCCGAUACAAAGGGCAGCGACACUGCGAGGUGAAGCCAAUCCCGUAAAAUCGGUCUCAGUCCGGAUUGGAGUCUGCAACUCGACUCCAUGAAGUUGGAAUCGCUAGUAAUCGUGGAUCAGCAUGCCACGGUGAAUACGUUCCCGGGCCUU
rnacentral:rRNA from 1 species